AGUCAUCAACCCAACCCGUUUUGUGAACGGGGGAAGGUUGGAUUAAUGGGGGCUUGCUGCCGUAGAGGGCAGCUCCCCUUAAAUGUGUCGGUUGGGCCAGUGGUCUGCACCCGAUUGGGCGUUGUAACACCCUCGCUCUGGGUCGGGGCCCCCGUCCGAGCCCUCCCGCCGACCGCCUCCGGGGUGGCGGUCAAACCGAUCUUUUGAA
rnacentral:misc_RNA from 1 species